UUUCAACUGUAAAUUAACAAA
rnacentral:piRNA from 1 species